UACGGGAGGCAGCAGUGAGGAAUAUUGGUCAAUGGACGAGAGUCUGAACCAGCCAAGUAGCGUGCAGGAUGACUGCCCUAUGGGUUGUAAACUGCUUUUAUCAGGGAAUAAAGUGAGGCACGUGUGCCUUUUUGUAUGUACCUGAUGAAUAAGGACCGGCUAAUUCCGUGCCAGCAGCCGCGGUAAU
rnacentral:rRNA from 1 species